rnacentral:rRNA from 1 species
GAUAAACGCUGGCGGCGUGCCUAAAACAUGCAAGUCGAACGGUUCUCGUUUUUCGGAACGGGGAUAGUGGCGGACGGCUGAGUAACACGUGGGUGACCUGCCCUCGAGCGGGGGAUAACUGCCCGAAAGGGUGGCUAAUACCGCAGAUGUCAUGGAUUCGGUUUCAUGACUGAACUUCUGGGGUUCGAGGAGGGGCCCGCGGCCGAUUAGCUAGGUGGUGGGGUGAUGGCCUACCAGGGCGACGAUCGGUAGCUGGUCUGAGAGGAUGAUCAGCCAGACUGGGACUGCGAACGGCCCAGACUCCUGCGGGAGGCAGCAGUUAGGAAUUUUGGGCAAUGGGCGGAAGCCUGACCCAGCAACGCCGCGUGGGUGAUGAAGGCCCUCGGGUCGUAAAGCCCUUUUCCCAGGGACGAUGGUGACGGUACCUGGGGAAUCAGCCCCGGCUAACUACGUGCCAGCCGCCGCAGUAACAC